CCUACGGGAGGCAGCAGUGAGGAAUAUUGGUCAAUGGUCGCGAGCCUGAACCAGCCAAGCCGCGUGAGGGAAGACGGUCCUAUGGAUUGUAAACCUCUUUUGUCGGGGAGCAAAAGCCGCCACGCGUCGCCGUCCGAGAGUACCCGAAGAAAAAGCAUCGGCUAACUCCGUGCCAGCAGCCGCGGUAAUACGGAGGAUGCGAGCGUUAUCCGGAUUUAUUGGGUUUAAAGGGUGCGCAGGCGGACGAUCAAGUCAGCGGUAAAAUGGCGGGGCUCAACCCCGUCGAGCCGUUGAAACUGGCUGUCUUGAGUGAGCGAGAAGUAUGCGGAAUGCGCGGUGUAGCGGUGAAAUGCAUAGAUAUCGCGCAGAACUCCGAUUGCGAAGGCAGCAUGCCGGCGCUACACUGACGCUGAGGCACGAAAGCGUGGGUAUCGAACAGGAUUAGAUACCCUGGUAGUC
rnacentral:rRNA from 1 species